rnacentral:misc_RNA from 1 species
UCUCACCUUACGGCGGCAGUCCUGAUAGAGUCCCCAGCAUUACCUGAUGGUAACUAUCAGCAAGGGUUGCGCUCGUUAUGGCACUUAAGCCGACACCUCACGGCACGAGCUGACGACAACCAUGCAGCACCUCGACUGGCGUCCCGAAGGACCUUCUAAUCUCUUAGUCGUUCACCAGCCGUUCGAGCCCGGGUAAGGUUCCUCGCGUAUCAUCGAAUUAAACCACAUGUUCCUCCGCUUGUGCGGGCCCCCGUCAAUUCCUUUGAGUUUCAACCUUGCGGUCGUACUCCCCAGGUGGAUAACUUAUCGAUUUCUCUUGGCCACCGACAUUGUAUCGCCGACAGCGAGUUAUCAUCGUUUACUGUGUGGACUAC